UACGUAGGGGGCAAGCGUUAUCCGGAUUUACUGGGUAUAAAGGGAGCGUAGACGGCUUUGCAAGCCAGAUGUGAAAGCCCGGGGCUCAACCCCGGGACUGCAUUUGGAACUGUAUGGCUGGAGUGUCGGAGAGGCAGGCGGAAUUCCUAGUGUAGCGGUGAAAUGUGUAGAUAUUAGGAGGAACACCAGUGGCGAAGGCGGCCUGCUGGACGAUGACUGACGUUGAGGCUCGAAAGCGUGGGGAGCAAACAGG
rnacentral:rRNA from 1 species